rnacentral:lncRNA from 1 species
AACAAUUCUUUGUUAAAUUCCUCAUUAGUAUCUAGAAAUUCAAUUUGAAGCAGCAGCACACACAUGUCAAAAUCGUCAUGGCGUACUCGCAUUUGCAUUAAUUGAGGGGCACAUCUGGAGCUAGUGUACACAUCAACAGGAGCGCCUCGAGGCUCGAUAAUACAUUUAUUAUGAACAACUGUAGUCCUUAGCGUAUAAGGAGCGUAUGAUAUGAGUGAAGUCAAUGGUGAAUACAUACCUCGGUGAUGGACCAGAUGAUGACCAAGGAUCUGACCAAGUCACCACGAUGUGUGUCCUGGUUUGCAAACACAACCAAGAAA